UUUUUUUUUUUGCUAUAACUUUGCCGAGCCACCUAGCCUCUUGCAUUUUUCGAAUAAAGAAGAUGGUUAUAAGAUCAAAUUCGCUUUAAGAAGUAACUUUCAUCUUUAGUAAUUUACCAAGGUAUCAGAGAUAUAACUUUCUAGACACUUUUGAGAUCUCACUCUUUCAAGUCUAUGAGCCCGUUUGGCCAUGAAUUUUUUUACUUUUUUCAAAAUCAAUGUUUGGCCAUACAUUUUUUAAUUUUUAUUUGAAGAUGAAUUUUGGAAUUUUUCGAAAAUUUGAAAAACUCCAAAAAACUAUUUUUUAAUUUCACUCAGACCAUUCACAAAAAUUCAAAAAUAACCUAAAAUUAUAUUUGUAUCUAAAUACAACUCUAAUUUUUAAAUAAUAUUUUCGCUUGAAAAAAUAUUUCACUUUUUUCGGAAUUUUACAAUUCUUAUGUUCAAACGCCCACUAUAUUUGUGCAGGCAGAUUGAGGCUCCUCAAAUUUUGCAAAAUGCGAUAAAUAAAAUUAAAAAAGAAAUAAGGGGUGAAGUCACAAUUAAGAACGAGCUUACAACUUUACCAAAAUAGUAAGUCGAUCCCCGAGAUGUAAGAAUAACGAGGCCCACUUAUCAACAGACUCCAGCUAAAAGUGUUUCGGUUUCUGUGCCAUUUAUAAAUUUCUGUUGUUCAUUGUCUAAAGAAAGUUUUGACAAUUAAAUACAAGAAUAUAGAAAAUAUUAAAUAAUUGACAAAAGGUUACAAGAGCAGGAAUUAUCUGAACUAUAAUUUAAUAAACAUUUCCUUCUCCAAAAAUUUACUAAAACAAAGACAGUAAUUUAGGGGCUGAGCCACAAUAUUGUUACGGAUUCAGCGCAAUCUAGUAAUUUUUUUAUUAGACUCUUGCAUUUGUAUUAAAUGACUCUAAUAUGUAUAAAUAUUUAAUUUCGUACGUAAUAAUUGAAACGUGUUAUGAAUCGAUAAAUUUCAAAUUUUGACUUAGAGCUUUCUACAAAAAAAGCGAUGCAAGAACGUAUUCUUUUAUCUAAGCUUCUUCCCUGUGCAUUAGCUCCCCCCAUCGUAGAUGGUUCAGCCACGCCCGGUGCCACGAAAUGAUUGAGAACUACGUCGGGGUCGAAAUGAAUUUUGUUCUUUGUAUUCAAUAAGUAUUGCAUGACCGGAUAAUUCAAGGAAGGGCGGACUGCGGGGAGGAUCCUUUUAAGUAGAUGACUCGUCGGUCGGUCGGAGCGGAACUUCUUUGGGAAAAAGAACUUAAAUAAGUUUAUUGUUCUGAAGGAGUCGUCAUUUUACCUUUUAUAUUCUGUUUUCUCAUAAUUUUUUAGUGGCGAAUUUUAUCCAUUUAAUGUAAGUGGUAGUUUAGGGACAAAUCUACAAACAAAUGGUAAAACUUAAACUCGCUCCAAUUCCCAGGCACGUUGGAAUAUAGUUUUGAUUUAAUUUAAGAAAUAGAAUCUCAAGUUUAAAGGAUGUAAUUUGUAAAACUCAUUUUGUAAAUUGUAAAAAACUUAGAAAUUACUAUUUGAUUUAUAGUGCGUUAUAGUCUAAACAGUACUUCAAGAAAUUAACCCGAAUAUGGUUUAACGUUUACUCCGCCGGUCUUAUUUUAUGUGAAUAUAUUACUAUUUAGGAAUCAAAUAAUUUUUUAUUAUAUUUUCUCAAACUCUUUUUAAAUAUUUGAAUUAUUUAAUAUUAACUAAGUUGACAAGAGGGGUUGUUCUGAUGGUAAACAACCUCCAUUUCCAAUCACGAGGUUGUGAGUUCGAGUCUCCCAAGAGCAAGACGGGAAGUUCUUGGAGGGAAGGAUGUCGAGGGUCUAUUUGGAAACAGCCUCUCUACCCCAGGAUAGAGGAAAGGUCAAGUGGGAUUAUACUGAGUUGUUGUUGUUGUUGACUUACUUUUCAUGCAAUCCUCAAAUAUGUAAUGUUUUAUUUUAAAGCAAUAAAGAAUUUAUGUUCAAAUUAUCAUUAAAAAUUGUAAAUAUUUUGAUACUUUUACUAUGAACUACUUCAUAUAAAUUGGGACAAAGCGAUAAUUAUUGUUGAUGAGAAUAUUAAGUAAUAUCUUUCCAUCUAUUCAAAUUUAAAUAGAAAAAUAACACAAUAUUUAUACAAUUAGGACUAACAAAAGUCGCAUAAAAUUAAUCGAGAUAUACAUAAACUGACGGCAACAUAAGAAAAAGACUUUAGGAAAAGGAAAGUAAUUGGGUAAAAUUCACUCAAUUGUCGUUGGCUUAAAGUCCACAUCAGAAGGAGAGUGGACCCCACAUCCGAUUCGGUGCUGAGGUGUAACGGCUCACCUCUUAUCAUGAUUCCGUACAAUAUUUUUCUUUUAAUUUGUUUACUUAUUAUAAUAAGCUAUAUACUAUAAAGCAACGUAAAUAUUUAACUACUACAACAACUCAGUAUAAUCCUACUAAGUGGGGUCUGGGGACGGUAGUGUGUACGCAAACCUUAAAUAUAUAACUAUUUGUUAAAAAUCAUGUUAAAAAGUAUAAUAAAAGAAAAAUUGUUUACUUCAAAAUAACAAAAAAUUCAUAUAAAAUAAUAUCAUAUAAUUUAAAAAAACUGUGAAAACUGCUCAAGUUUCACUACUCAAAUAUAAAUUUUCCUUUUGACUACUUAAAUAUGAUAUUUCUUUUAUUAGUAACUAGUUUUUUCCUAAUUCAAUAAAUAUCAAAUAAAAUAUACUUACAUAUAUAUAUUUUUACGACUUAAUUAUGGUUAAUAAUCACCUCUAUUUUUUGUAUUCCCCUAGAAUUAACUUUUUUUAUAGGAUUUACCAUCAAAGGAGUGUUGUGGAUAGAUGAAAUUCUUUCGAUAUUAACUUGAAGUCUCGACUUUGAAUUUCGUAAAUUUGUGAUACGAACUGCUACCUAUUUUAAUGAUCUAUAUAUAGCAAAAAUUUGAAUUAGCGGGGCGAACACGCCAAAUGUUAAACAAAAACAAAAUGUACAAUAUUUAAUGGUGGAAUUAGGUUUGAGCUCUUAGAUCCUUGAUAAGAAGCUUUCAUUUAACGAGUUGGAAUUUGAAUUAAUCGAGUCACUAAUUUCGAAGUUAGAACAUCAUAUAAUUAAUUAAUUAAAAAAAGAUUUUUUUUUACCUGAUUUGGUGCAACCACAUAGCAUAAUUAGUAUCUAAUGACCAAAGAGGGUUGUGGUGGAGUAGCAAGUACUUCUUCAUCCCUAAUCGGAGGUCAUGGGUAUAGAGUCGCCUUUGUUAGUGAGCGUUUUACCCCAAUGUGGGACUUUCCGGUGCGAAUCCGAAUUUAGUCGGGCCCAACUACAGUGGUAAACCAAAAAACAAACAAACUAGUAUCUAGUGUAAACAGUGGCCUGUCACUGUAAUUUCACCAAAAAUAUCAACACAAUAAUACAGCAAACCGCUCCUUCUCUGAACUUUCCGCCCCUAUAAAUUCACUUGGGUCCGCAGCAAACUGCUUAAAAAUCAUAUAUUUUGAUACUGAAUAAGAUACUGUUCCUUAUUUUUUUUCUCUCAUUAUUCCAGUAAAAGAUCUUUAUUCUUUUUUAGCUGAAUCCAGCCAUAAAAAGGUAUAUUCCAGAAUCUGAUUCAUAUCUAUAUAUUUUGUAUUUAACUUUUGCACUCACAUUAACAUUUUUGCUUUAUUUGUUCUGUUCAGUUUGUGUUGGAGAUAUGGAUCUUGAUGUUGAUUAGUGAAUAUCUUUAAUCUGUUGAAGUAUGUGUUAAAGAUUUUGAUUUGAGAAAAAAAAUCCCCUUUUUUUUAUGAUAGAGUUAAGAUUUUUAGUGAAGUUAAGUACUUUAAUACAGUUUAGAAGGUAGAAUCUUUAUUGCUAUUAUUAAUUCUUCUGGUCCCCCCCCCCCCCACAACCCCACCCCGAGGGCCCUCAUUAGGGGUUAGGUGAUUUGGUUGUGGCAAAGAAGUGUUCUUUUUAGAUAUUUUUUUAGCUGCUGACAUGUGCUGAGUCAGUCUUUCAAUUUUCUGAGUGAUCAUUUGUACUCAAUUUGAGGAUGUUUGAACCGUGAUAAGGGUAGCCCAGUACACAAGGCAUCCUGCCUUUACGCAAGGUACGGGGAAGGGUCGCACCCCAAGAGGUGUCAUGUAGACAGUCUAACCUAAUGCAAGUGUUAACGGCUGCUUCUACGGCUCGAACCCGUGACCUAUAGGUCACAUGGAGACAACUUUACCGCUGCUCCAAGUCUCCCCUUCAGUAAAGAUACUACCUUCUAAACUCUAUUAAAGUACUUAAUUUCACUAAAAAUCUGAACUUUAUCAUAACGGUGGAGUAAUCGAUACAUAGUAAAUGGGAUUUUGAGAGAUUCUUUAGGGGAAAACUGAAGUAAGUCUUUAAGGGGGGAAAGAGUAGGGUGCAGAGUAUAAAGUUUUGAAAUACACAAGAGGAAAAGAUGAUUUUAUUCAUGAACAACAUGCUCUUUAUAUAGAGCAGAUACAAACUGAAAUACAUAAUAGUGGAACAAACCGAUGUGAUAAGAUUUUGUGCAGCAGAAUACACUAGAAUACAGGGAACUAACAAAAUCCUAAAACUAGAAAAUAGGAAGCUAAAAACAAACUACUAAACUGAAGGAUAACAAGUAUUAUCCUUUAAUACAGAGGUAACGAUAGAUGAGCUAAACUUCAUUUGACUAGAAUGUACAAUGCUUAUUAUCUGGACAUAUACUUUUGAUUUGUGAUUUUUCUCCAGCGAUCGACUACUAAAUUUUCACAUACCAAAUUUUCCUGGAGCUCCGUGAAUGUUAAUGCUUAUGCGUGCUCAUUAUCUCAAGGAAUCAUGAACUCUUUUCUAAAAUCAGUAACUAUGUAUUUUAUUCAUCCAAAGUGCACCAUGGAAGUGCUUGAAUAUGUACAAGCAAAAACCUCAGCAGUUCUAUAAUGUGGGAACUGACGUAUAAACAUCUGUAUCUAAGUCAAGGAAUUGUAAAUUAUGAACCUUGCUGUUUUUGACCUUUCAAAGGGAAAAAAAGGAAAAAGGAUUAUGUUGGACAAGAUCUCACAGAAGGCCAAUAUGUCUGUUAUUUUUCAUAGCAGCUAGUCAACUUAUGUAGGACUUGGCCGCAUGAAACGAUUCAGCAAAUUUUUAUCCUUAUGUUCAAUUUCAGUUAAAAAAUAUGCAGCUUAUCAAUUAUGCAGAUAUAUGCUCAAUGCAUAUGGCUACCUUUUCUCUUGCUCUGAAACACACGAGCAAAUAUUCUCUGUGUAUACGAGCAACAAAUACUAGUAAUAUAGAAUCUUGUCUGGCCACUUUCUUCUUAUACGCUUUUAUUCCAUCACGUGCUUGUUACGUAAAUGCAGAGCCUAUAAUCAAUCAAUGGGCUCAAAAGCAGUUGAAGAUUUGAUACAGGCAUCAUCAGGAGUUCAUUAUUCUGGAUUCCAUUUAGAAGAACCACAUACUUCAGAAGUUGAGCAACCAACAACUUCUAUUGAUGAAAGUGUUAAGCAACCCUUUGUCAUUGGUAUGUCGAGGCAGUAAUAUAUCUCUUGCUGUUACUUGAGCUUUUUCUCAACUAACUUUAGCUUCACUGCAAACGAUAGUUUUAGAUCGUGAAACUAAGACAGCUACUCAAUCUUUUCGGGACGGGUAUAUGAAGAACGGUUAAUUUCACUCAUCAUUCAAAUCAUUUUGGAUGGAUGUUAAUCGCCCUUGCAUUUUUGAUACUUAGUAAAGCUGUACAUUUAUAUAUAUGAUGACACUGGAUGAGAAAAUUAUGAUGUUGAAUUUGGUGAUGGAUGAGAAAUCAUUGUGCUUGCUUAAGAAUUGUUUAGAUAUAGGACCUAAAGUAAAUGUAUUAACAUGACUAAGAUAUGCUCCCAACUAAUUGGUGUCUCCUAAAUGGUUAGUGAGGAUUCAUAUAGCCGACACCGACUUGUUUUGGGAUUGAGGGGUGUGGUUUGACGUAGAAGUCCAGACCAAAACUUUAUCUGACUAAAGACUGGAUUUUUUUUGUGUGCUUGAUCCUGCUUUCUGCCUGCACCUCGGAAUGCAUUUGUCGUCUUUGUGGAGUUUUGUUCAGCAUUUGCUGGAAACGUAUUCCACGAGCUUUGCUUCUCUAAGUUUGUUGGUUGAUGCUUGUUCCUACAAUUAGCACAAGAUAGGGUAAUGAUGAGAGGAAAGACUUUACAGGUUCUCUAUGAGGUGUGCAUAUGUAUUGUUGGUCAAUAGAGCAGUUUGUGUGCUUUGAUGAGAAAAUAUCUCAGGGCUAUGGUUAAAGAUGGGAACGAAUCAUCGGGAUUUUAGUCAGUUCAUGUAAACUUGAGAACAGUACAGUGAUCUUAGUUUUCUACUUGAUGCAUGCUUAUAUAAGAUGUUUUACCUGCAGGAGUUGCUGGAGGUGCUGCAGCGGGCAAGACAACAGUUUGUGAUUUGAUUAUUGAUCAGCUUCACGAUCAGCGUGUUGUCCUAGUUAACCAGGUGGGUUUUCUUCAGAGUAGAAAAUGAAGCUUUUGUUUUUAUUUUUUUAUGUACGAGUCUAAAAAAACACCUUUCAUCACUUGAACAGACUGCAUAAUCUUUUCCUAUGCAGUUUUAACAGUGGAACUCUAUUUCUCUUAUCUCUUCCUAUUUAAUUGAUAAACGUUCACAAUUUGUUUAUAACAUCCACUUGACCUUUCUUCUUGAUGAGGUAUUGGAUAGCUGGGGUCCUACUCCGUAUUUUCCUAGGGCGGGUUAUCUCUAAUUUUCUUUCUAGUUUUGUAAAAAAUAUAUAUUAACCAAGCUAAAAUUAUAAAAUGUAAUUAUUCGUAAGCUCAGCAUCCAAUUCUUUUUGCUUAUGAUUUGGCAGUUUAUGGCUAUUCCAUGUACUAGUUCUAUCGCACCCCUGUCGUCUAUGACAAUAAAGUAUAACUUGAGGGAAUUUAACUUGCAUCUUAAGUUGUCUGUUUUCCACAACUUUUCGGUGCUCUUGCAUUAUAUUUGUCUUAAGUUUGGAAAAAAAAUGUAUAGCCUGCCAAAACACAAACACCUAUUUGUCUGACUUAUGUUUCAAUUGGCAGGAUUCUUUUUAUCACAAUUUGACACCAGAAGAACUCACAAAAGUUCAUGAGUACAACUUCGACCAUCCUGGUUAGUCUAGUUCUUUAUUAUCUGAAUUGAAUACACAGGUAAAAUUGUUUUAUCUCUUAGUUCCUCUGAGAAACAAAGAUAUCUUUUUCCAUGGUGAAUCAUUGCCAAACAUCCAUUUUAUCAUUCUAGCAGUUGACUGUAUACAAUUUGUAAUAGAUUGCCAGAAACUGCAAAGUUGAUUGUGGUUCAGCCAUUGAGGACUUAAAGUCCCUAAUCUUACUAGAAAUUCCUCAUAAACAGUUAGUAAUAGCUUCCAAAGAAAUGUUAACUCCAAAAAUCACUUAAUAAGGAUUUGAAAACCUAGUACUAGUUUUCACUUAUGUUGUGCGGACUCCCCUAAAAGUUGUCGCACCCAUGUCAGAUUCCUCUGAAAAUACAUUACUUUUGGAGGAUCUAACACGCACCCGGAGACAUUUUCGGAGAAAUCACUUAAUAAGAAUAUGUACUUAGUUUUAGAAAUAUUAAAAAGCUGUUCUAUUUUCUAGAAUAAUACGGUGGCUAAGUUUUACGCGUCUUUCUAAUUAUUGUGCUUUAUUCAGAUGCAUUUGACACUGAGUUAUUGUUGCGUGUGAUGGAGAAAUUGAAGCAUGGGCAAGCUGUAGAUAUUCCAAAAUAUGAUUUUAAGAGUUACAAAAAUGACGUAUUCCCCCUUCGAAGGGUAAUUUCUAUCUAGCAUGGCAUUUUCCUCUUCUUUUUUUUUCUUCUUUCAUUUCAGCUUGUAUUGUUACAUAGAGAUCAACCUAGUUUCUUUCCCUAUCUACGACCCAACCCCUCCUCAAAGGGAAAACAAGGAAGAAAAGGGGAAAGAUAACAUUCCAAUGAGAUGGAGCAUAGAUACACACGCUAUUGCCUGCGGCUAAUUUUAAUUUUGGGUGCCGAAUUAUCUAACAAGUGUCAUUAACCACUUUGACUUAAAAUACUUGGUAGGUCAAUCCUUCGGAUGUUAUAAUUUUGGAAGGUAUACUCAUAUUUCAUGAUCCUCGUGUCCGAGAUCUGAUGAGUAUGAAGAUAUUUGUAGAUACAGGUUCUUUCCUCUCCUUUCUUUGAUAUAUCUUUUUCGUAUAUUAGGUUAAUGCUUAUGCAUCUUGUUCUUUUCAGUUGUUUUAUCUAAAAACAUAACACCAAACUUGCACCCAAGGGUGUGGCCUAGUGGUCAAUGAAGCGGGUGAGAACCAUGAGGUCUCAAGUUCAAAUCCCAGCGGAGGCAAAAAAAAACUAGGUGAUUUCUUCUCAUCUAUCCAAGUCUUGGUGGAUAGAGUCACCUGGUACCUAUUGCUGGUGGGAGGUGGCAGGUACCCCGUGGAAUUAGUCGAGGUGCGCGCAAGCUGGCCUGGACGCUACAGUUAUCAAAAAAAAAUGUUAACACCAAACUUCAAAAACAAAUUGAAAUUUUUGGUCCUAGUCCUUUAUUUGCUUAGACCUCAUUUGGUCUCUAGAGAAGAAAAAAAGAAUCUAGAAAUAGGAAAUUAGGAAUACUACAAUGCUAUAUUGAAGUGGAUUAUUGAAGUUAUUUUACUUAUUUCUGCACAGCUUUUUGUUUUGCAACUAUUGUCAGUCUUCCUAACGUUUGAUAUGCUGAUUUAGUCUUAAUCACGAGGAUAAAACUUCUGCUUGUUGUUUCAUUCCAUGUCUACAGACAUCUAUUGUGAAUUCUCUACUUUUGUGGUUUCAUAAUUUAAAAUUUUCAGUGCAGAUGCUGAUGUACGGCUUGCAAGGAGAAUAAGACGUGAUACUGCUGAAAAGGGUAGAGAUAUCGCUACAGUACUUGAUCAGGUUACUUGAUCUUUAUAGCUUAUAUCAAGAAUUUGUGAGCUAACUGUGUUUGCAUUCUCAUAUGUACCUAGAGGAGUCUUCUCUUUUUCAUUUUUUGCUGUUUGGCAAAUCUUUUGUCAAGGUAUCAAAUUUUUUGUAUUUCCCAACUUCCAACAAAAUGCCCAUUGUUAAAACUGAUAGUUUCCCUUUCACGAAUAACGUAAUGUAAUCUUUGCGCAGUACUCCAAGUUUGUCAAAUCGGCUUUUGAUGACUUCAUUCUUCCAACAAAGAAGUAUGCUGACAUAAUAAUUCCCCGGGGUGGAGACAAUCAUGUUGCUAUCGAUUUGAUUGUGCAACAUAUCAGGACGAAACUUGGUCAACAUGAUCUUUGUAAAAUAUAUCCUAACUUAUACGUUAUUCAAUCUACUUUCCAGGUACCAUUUUCAUCUUGUUAUUAUAGAUAUGUUUUAGCACCGAUCUGUUUCAGUUUCAUCUUGCCAAUUAUCUGUGCCUCUUCAUCUUGAAGUCAUUUUUCCUUUUUUUUGAGAUCGACCUUUUAUUUCCCUCUAAGAUUAUUAUUUGUUUCAUUCAGAUACGUGGCAUGCAUACACUUAUCCGUGAUGCACAGACGACAAAGCAUGAUUUUGUGUUCUAUGCUGAUAGAUUGAUUCGAUUGGUAAGUUUUUCUUUCUUGCACGGCGAUCAAGUUAACAAGUUUUUCGACAAGUGAAAGAUUUCCCCUUAUCUAUCAAAGUUCUUCCUCACUGUACCAGGUUGUUGAACAUGGACUAGGCCAUCUGCCGUUUACAGAAAAACAGGUGAUCACUCCAACUGGUAAGCAGCUAUCCCCCAUAGUGCAAUAUUAGAUAUGAAUUUGAUUCUAAAUGUUCAUUUAUGUCAUUGUAUUUUAAUCAAUCUAGUUGUGGUUUCCACAGUAUGUGAGCUUAGGGGCGGACCUAGAGUAUUAGGUACGGGUUGGGACGAACACAAUAGCUUUUGCUUAAACCCUAUAUUUGUAUUAGGAAAUCCGUUAAAUAUGAACAAAUAUUUAAUUGUGAACCCAGUAACUAAGACGAGCGAUGGAACCUUCAAAUCCUGGCUCCGCCUCUAUGUGAGCUGAUAUGUUUUCCUGGUUCCGUAACAUUUAGAAGUGAUUGUUUUUAAUUUUUUGGAUUAUAUUGUUUCUUUUGGAUUCAUCGUAGCAUUGCAAUAGAGCUCUUUUGUUUUAUUUCAUGUAUAUCCUUUUUUCCUUAAUCAGUUUUACCUACCAUAACUCACUCAAGAGAGACUGAGUUACUAUUUUGAAAAAAUAAGCUAUCAGGAAAACUGUUGGCAUAUUUGAGAUGCUCUGGCCUCUAAGAAGUAAGCAGCAGCCGUGGUUUGAAAUAUCAAUCGGUACUGCAAAGUGUCAGAGGAAUCAUAAUUAGAAGGGACAAGGCCGAUUCAAUGACUCACAAUGUUUUUUACUUGUGUUGAAAAUGUUGUCACCCAUAUUAUGAGUGCUUCGCUACUGACAUGUCAAAAACUCAAAAUAAUCGCAUCCGAGCUACAUCAUAGGAGAUGCAUCGGAUACCAUGUGGAGUGUGGGCAAUAUUAAAUGAAAGCUUCUCUUGGGAUAAUUGAUGCUAUAUUUUGCCGCUUGAUAUUCCUUUUAUAGAGAGUCGAUAAUGAUACUUUGUCGUGAAUGUGAUUUAUCAUUUGAAAGACUAUUGACCAUAGCAGCUUAGCAAACACGUUUUCUUGGUGCAACGUUUAUUAGUAUCAACACCAUGGUAAUUUGUUACGUUUCAAUCCGUUAGUUUGGUAAAUUUUCAGCACUUGAUUAAUGUCUUCGAAUUUCAUAGUUGCUUAGCUACUUCAAUCCAUAUUAUCUAUGGUGGCGGCUUGGGUUUCAUGAAUUUACUUGGAUAAAAACUAGUCUCUUUCCAGUUUGGAUGUCUAGUUGAGAUGUAUUUACCUGUUAUCUUUUAGGUCAGCUAAAUGAUUGCAAACUGUGGUGAACUUCUUGCUUACCAAGACCCGCAUUGACUAUUAGCCAAUAUUGUCAUUUUUUGAAUCAAGAUUUUACUCAUGUUUAUUCUUGGACUUUGCUCUUCAUGAUAUCCCAAGUUAGCUCCUGUUUCGAUGAGCAUGAAAAGAUAUGCUUAAAUUAACCCACCUCUGUUGAGUGCAGGAUCUGUAUACAGCGGUGUAGAUUUUUGCAAGAGGUUAUGUGGUGUCUCUGUAAUUAGAAGGUAAUUAUUGUUCGUCACCCUUGAUUUCUUCAUAUAUGAGGUAAAAAUGCGGGAUGUUACCUUGAGAAGAUCAAGAUUAAUAAUGUUAAGAGUAAAUGUCACCUAAAAAGGUUUACAUCAAUGGGGGUUCCUUUUUCUUCUAGUGUGGGAAAUAGAUAAUCAAAAUUUAUUAGUUUGCUGUUUAGUCAAUAUUUAGAUUUGUUGUGUUAAUCUCGGAAAAAUCAAAAAUUAAAAUAUGUAUUGCUAAUAAGUCGAAGUAGAAUGUGAACCUGUUUAAUGUUGAAUGUAUAUGGGGGUUUACCUAAUCAUCAUCCUUGGUAUGUUGAAACAUUUUACUUUAAUUCAUUAGAAAUGUCCUUGCUUGCUUCUUUCUGCCUUCAGUAUAAGAUUUAGGGAUUGCUAUGUUCUCUUUACUUGCCAUAAGAAUUUCUAAUUUUGCACAGUGGAGAGAGUAUGGAGAAUGCGUUGCGUGCAUGCUGUAAGGGUAUCAAGAUAGGCAAGAUUCUUAUCCACAGAGAGGGUGACAAUGGUCAGCAGGUUAGCGAUUUGCUUGUCCUCCCGAAUCUUUAUAUUGGUAUUUGCUUUCUUUCUUUUUUUAAAGUUUGUAAUGCCUUUUUUCAUUUAUUGCAUGUAUAAUGAUGCAGCUGAUCUAUGAAAAACUACCAGAAGAUAUUGCAGAAAGGCAUGUCCUUUUGCUGGAUCCUAUCCUUGGCACAGGUUAGUCUAUUUUCAACAACGCCCUCGACAUCACGUGACUGACCAUGACUCUCAAUGCACACAAAAUGUAUAGAUGCACUACAUCAUGAAGAAUGUUGUAAAAUUUUCUUAAUGAGCGAAUGUGUAAGCUAAAGCCUAUAUGUGACAAUCUUCAGGGAAUUCAGCAGUUCAAGCUAUUUCUUUACUGCUAAAGAAGGGAGUCCCCGAGUCCAACAUUUUAUUCCUCAAUCUUAUUUCUGUAAGUUUACCAAUUCAUCCAUUUUUGGCAUUUGAUUAUCUUAGAAUCCACCUUUUUACAAAUGUUGCUAGCACGUAAACAUGUGGAGUUUCUAUUGCAAUAAAAUUCUGGAAUCAUAAUCUUUGAUGUUCUUAAACUAGGCACCCCAAGGAGUACAUGUGGUUUGUAAGCGUUUUCCAAGAAUAAAGAUCGUGACAUCUGAGAUAGAAAAUGGUUUGAACGAUGAUUUUCGUGUUAUUCCUGGAAUGGGCGAGUUUGGUGACAGGUAUUUUGGCACAGACAAUGACUAAACGUUAGACUGGUGGCCCGUCCCUCUCUAUCUCUCAAUCGCGCGAGAGAUAUAACCUUUUCUAUAUCAACCCAAUCAUAUUUUCUGAGGAUCAUUAAGAAGAAAAGGACUCAGUUGAGCAUGAUUAAACAAUAAUGUGUUAAGGUCUGGACAUUAUGAGAUUGUAUUUGACUACAGUUGCAUUAGAAAUGCGAUUUUCAAACUUUUUGUACAUUUGAGUAACACGAGUUUCCUUUAGGAGUUGUAAGAAAUGCAUUAAAAUGGGUUUGAUAUGAAUUACUAUAGUAUCUGGACAACAACAACAACAACAACAACCCAGUAUAAUCCCACAAGUGGGUUAUGGGGAGGGUAAUAUGUACGCAAACCUUACCCCUACCCCGAAGGGUAGAGAGGCUGUUUCCAGGAGACCCUCGGCUCAAAAAAGCAACAUGAGAUGAUAUAUUAGUACCAUAAAAAUGCACAAUAGAAUAACAGCACAUAUCUGGACAAUAUGUGCAUUUACUUUUUAAAUCUUGAAUACCCUAAGCGAAAUUCAUGAUUUCCUUGGUGUAACUAAUGUUGAACUUAUCUAACUAUUGACAAUUCGAGAUCUAUCCUGAUAAUGUGGAUGUUUCGACUUGGUAGUUUUUAUAAUUUUAAUAUCAAAUCUCUCAAGAUAUUUUUAUUUUUACGCACAAAAGAUAUGAAAAUAAAACAUUACAGGACCAUUUAGUUAUAUUCAAAUUAUGAAAGGUUGUAUACAAAUUUCUUUUCCUUUUUUGACCAAAAAUGAGCAUUGGCCAACUCCUUGAAAAAUCGAUUCUGCACAACUGAAAAGGAGAAAGAAAAAGAGCAACUAUGCAACGCAUUGAGAAAGAAGUGUAUCUAAUUGAAGGUGUGAACAAUUAUGUAACAGUAUAUAUAUUCUUUAGAGUACAAAAAUGAAAAAAUUUAAUUUGUGUUUCACAAGUUUGACGGAAUACCAAUUAUCUCCCACCAACGCAUUUAUCGGGUAAUUCUACCCACCAAAGUUUAGAUAGGUGCCAAAAAAUUACUUAGCGCUUUUACCUCUACUGGAUUUGAACUCAAAACCUCAUGGCUCUCAACCGACUUCAUUGACCACACUAGGCCAUACCUUGAGUGGUUAAGUAUAAAAUCUAAUUACGUAACUGAAUCUAUAUAUAUAUAUAUAUAAGAGGUAAUUGAAAAGAUGACUUAGCACCUCUCUUUGGCCAAGAAACUCAUUUAUCUUUUUUCUCCUUUUUUGGCUUUUCCCCUCCCUUAUAUUCCGUUGCUACAUCCUUUAAUAUGUGAUUAUGUUGAUAACUCCCAAGUCCUAAAUACUAUUUAAUGAGUGAUUUUAUGGCAUUCUUUUGUAUUCCCCGUAUAUGCCUAUAAGUUUACUAGGUACAUUAGAAAACCUAAAUCAUGAUUUAUUGGUAAAACUAUUGUCUAUUCAACAGUUAAUGGAGUUUGGUUUAGCUUAAACAAUAUAAUGGUACGGCCGUUACACAUGCACUAGCAAUUUAGUUGAAUUGUAACAUUGGUUUCCCAUUUUAAUGUGGAGGCUUAGUUUGAUGCUUUGUCCAAGGAAGAUGAUGAAUGCAUUCGUAUAUUCUAAGUUCUCAAUGGCAGACUCAAUUGCGGGGGGGGGGGGGGGGGGUGGAUGCACUUGUAUGACAUAGUGUCAAAUGACGGCAAAUUAAUAUGAGUUUCAUGAAUUCUGAUUGCAGAAUAUUUACCUAACAUGUCUCAAAUGUUAGGCAUUGUAUUUAUCUUAUCCUCCUUUUUUGGCCUUUUCCCUAUAUUUUCCUAUUUACGCUACUGUAAAAAAUAAAGUCUAAUAAUUUUUAUCUACUUUUUCUUAAGGAAGCAUGUUGUAUGUCCUAUUUUUUUCCUCUUUUAUUUAUUUACAGCUGAUCUUUAAAAUUGAAUCAAGUAAGUUAUGAUAAUAAUAUUUUCAAUAUAAAACAAUAUAUCUUCCAAUAUUUAGGUAAAUGACAAUGCAAAUUAUUAUUUAAUUUCUUAAUUAGUUGGAUAAAUUUUUUUUCUUAUAUCAAGAAACACUUCAUUAUGAGCUUUCAAUCCAAACACUUCAUGUGAACCAAUGAGGUUUUUGAGUCAUGACUACAAGUAUCAAGUGGUGAAAAAGAAUUACAUGCGACAAAUAUUUUUGUAAAAAUGAAAGAAUGCUUAUUGCUAUAAUAAGGAUAAUAACAGUUACAAGUGUAUUCUAAAAUUGAAGGUUUGUACAUAAUAAAAAACAACCAUGAGAAAGAGACUCUAGUAAAAGAUUUAUGUUUGUGAUAUAAAAUUAAUUUUAUACUCAUAUACAUUAUCUUUUUAAUUUCUUCUGUCUCAACUAAACUUGCAAAAAUUUAUUUUAUGUAUUCACUAUUCUCUUUCUUAGCAGCACAAUAAUUGUAAGUGUACGACAUAACAUUGAACGUUCUAAAUUCUAAUGAUAUGAACAUAAAAAGAACAACUAUGAGAAGAAAACUCUAAUGAAAGAUUUAUAAUAUGAUACAAAAUUAAUUUUAUAAUCAUAUAAAACAAAAUUAAUCUCUUCUAUCUCAACUAAACUUGCAAAAAAAAUAAUUUUUAUGGAUUCAUUUUUUUAACCGCGCGAAGCGCGGAUAUAUUCACUAGUAGCAGAUAAACUUGGAAAUAAGCUAAUUUAUUAGCAUGCAUUAUGUUUAAUAUAACGUUCAACCAACCACAGAACUUAAUAAAUCACUUUGAAUUCCAUUCCCUGCCAAAUUCAUCAUAGCAUGGCAAUCCAAGCAGGAAAAGCAAGGUUAAGUUUGUGUCCAACAAUAUAAUUUCAAAGACAAUUUUGAAUGAAAUAGUAAGCAGUCAUUGCUAAAAUCCAAAAAAUGUUGUGGGUACAUAAAUUAAGCCACAGAUCUUAAUUCUAUGACAGAAAAGAGAUGAUCAACCCCCAAAUAGAUAUCCGGCGGCUUGUUCUUCAUUGCCAUCGAAAAACUUCAGAGCUUGUAUUACUGCAUCCCUUCCAAACCCUAAUUCAACAAGCUUUGCAACUUUGGCUUCAAAUUCAGUUCCCUGCAGAAAAAAUAUUAAUAAAGUAGCACAAAGACCAUAAAUGAUCUGUUCUACUUAACAAUGACUGUAUUUAUUCAAAGGAACAACAAAUUUAUGCAAGCUGUCAAGGAGCAAAUUAAUCUCUAAUUUACCUGUGUCGAAUUCCCAGGGGCGCUUCCUGUGGACCAAGACAAGGUUGAACUAUAAGUAAAUGAAAUUCAAAAGAGAAAUAAAGAGAGCUGUAGAAACAACCAAAAGCAAAAUAGAAAGAAAAUUCAUGUCAUCUUGUUGACUCUUCCUAAAUCAUGUUAAGCAAAUUAAUGUAAGGAAUUUAAAUCCUUGGGUGUGGCGGAACAGUCCAGAUGACAGACAGUUGAAAUGGAAUUCACAAAUAUUAUUUGGAAAUUGAAGCUAACCGGAAGGACCUCCUUUUGCAGGACCAGUCGUCUCCUUUGCUCCAGAUGUUGCCUGUACAGCAAGAAAAAGAACCAAGUUUAGUACUGCUGCCUCGUCGAAAAACCACAAACACAAGGAAAAAGCACUGUUCCUAGAAGGUCCAAAUCCUGAUUUGAAUAUUUAGAGAAAAAUGAUAAUAUAACAGAUUAUUAAAGGGCUGCAUGACCUUAAAGAUUUAAAAAUUGUAGGAUAACAUAUUGCACAAUCUUUAGAGCAAACAGGCUCUAGCAACCCCAGGAAAACAUCAAACUUCCAUCAAGAAUGUCAUAAUUGUAAAAAGAAAGGCAAAUCCUAGGCAAUCAUUUCAUCUAAUUUCAGCAUCAACUUUAUCUAUUAUCUUGGAGAGUGCAUAUAACCAGAACUGCACUCAAAUUUGUAUAAUGUUAGCUCUUGACCUAUUUUGAAGCUAAAAUACGUCAAAUUUGUUGUUCAUUUAUUGCUCGCAUUAAACUAUAGGCAGCAAAAAGUAAAGUCCCACGUACCCACUUUCAGAGAAUGAAAAAGGAAAGAUAGAUAAUGUUGAGUCCGGAAAAAAUCAUUAUGUAAAAAAAAUGCCUUUACCUGGGUUCCUGAGCUCGAAGCCUCCUUGGCGAACCUCUCGUCAUCAAGAAAAUGACCAGGAAUGUCCUUCUCUGAAAUUUGAUGUAAACAAACUUAGUAAAAGCUCAAAGGUAGUACUAUCCAGUACAAAAGUAACCAGGAGGCAUCACCAACCAUGUAGAAAUGGUACAGCAACCUCCCCUCCACCAACUCUCAGAACAUUCUCCUUCAGAUCAAUCAUGCACUGCAAAAGAUCAUUACCGUCCGCUUAUAAAGGCGUGUUGAAAAGAAAAGAUAAGAACAGAAAAGAAAAAGAUGUUACAAGCAGGGAAAGAAAGUCAACCUGGUGUUUGCGAAGCAUGUCAAGUCCAAAGAGAAAUUCCAUAUUGGGAGAAUCCAGUACCACGAAAGAACAAGGGUAAAAUAUUUGCCCAAUCUGCCAUAGUUAAGAGUUUAGCAAAUUGAAGUGAAACAUGCUAACAGAGCAUUACCUUGGAACUUAUCAUCAAUCCAAAGGCAAGCAUAUCCAUGCAGCUUUUUAUUACUUCGACAGCUUUUCAUUUACUAAAAUGAAUGCAUAUGUGCCUGGUUGCACGACUUAAUCCUCAAGUAUUAUGGGUAGAACAAGUAAUUAUCACCAACUGAUUAGUGGGACAAGUCAUCAGACAGAUUGAUUUAAGCAAAUGGCAAAUAAGCUAAAAACUACUUACAGCUGACAGAUUAUUAGUAUUAUUUGACUAUUAUUUGUGGCUAUAAGUUGUGCAGAAAUGUUUGCAUGUAGCUUAUAUAAGUUUUAGACUGCUAGAUCUAUAGACAGGAUACUUAGCAUCAGUAAUCCAGAUCAUAAAAUUGGACAUUACUAAGAAAUAGCACAGUAGUACAGAAACUGAAAGAACAGAAUAUGGAAAGCAUUUGAUAGCAGCAGAAAUUUAAUCACUCUAUUUAAUUUUCCGGGCAGUGCAUGAGAAUAGAAAGAAUUCAUCAGUAGAACAGCAGCAUCUAUUGUAUACCGUCAAUGCACUUGAAGUACAGACACAAGAUUGCAAGAUAACACAUCAGCUCCAAGGAAGCAACAAACCUUGAUUGGAGCAACAUGAAUACGACCUAGUAUCUCUGAUUGACCAACUCCAUGAGCAAUGCCCUUAUAGCGUGUAUCUAAUAGCCUCAACAAUCUGCAAGAGAACGGGUCAGCAGAUAUAUUAACAAAUCUUCAGGGCUAGCCUAUUUCUGAAAGAAAAAAAUAAGCCAGCAACAAACACCUGUUACAUUUAUUACUACAUUAUUCUUACGGUAAAUAAAACCAAAAACCUGAAUAUCAAACUGAUUAAUGUAUUGCCCAUAAACUUUUACUUUUUGAUAACCGAGAAAUAACCAAGGGCCAACGGCAUACGGUUUGAAACUCGGUAAAUAAUGGGCCAACCCUUCUACCCUAAAAACUUAUUAGUUAUUCACUCAACCUCCUCAUCAAGCUAAUGAAUGCCUCCUGGGUGGUAUUAUAAAUUUUAAAGAUAGUUCUGAAAUCUUAUAAUAGACAACGGAUAUCAAAAAGUAACCCUAUAAUAGAGGCAUGGUUCAAAAUAUAAGAGAGAGCAGAUAGAAACGUUCAGAGCUAAAGACGAUCCGGAAUAGCCUUGAGGCACCAUAGCAUGUCGAUGAAAAGCAUGCAAUCUUAGUGUCAAACAGAUUACAGCAGGAGUUCAAGAUGCUGCAUUAGUUCUUUUGUGCUUCUACAGUUCAAAUUGAAUCCUUAAUUUGCCUAUUGUUUAUUCUUCUGUCCUUCUAGAAUACGAAUUUUUCAACAACAUACCUCAUUGAAAAAUUUCAUAAAUAAAAAGAACAAAAAUGAGAGAAACUCUUCUUAUAUCUCUGACUUUAUUUCUUUCAUUCUUUGAUAUGGUAAAAAUAUAUCUCUGACUAAAACUACUCAUCAAUUUCUACGUUUGCAAUAAUAAUUUUUUUUGAUAAAGAACGGUAUUAUGCGUGCUUUAAUAAUCAGUUGUGCUAAUAAAAUAAUAAAAGGAUCAAACAAGUUACUAUAAACAACACAGCACAGCCUCGUAAAUCAUACCCACAACGUUCUGCACAGCUUUUAGAUAUAAUUGUUGACUGAGCUCCACUAUCCACAAAAGCCUAAACCAAAGAGAAAGGUAAUAUCCCACUCAACCAAAAGUAACAAGAUGUACCAAGAAGAUGGAGCACAUCCAAAUAAAAAUCCCUACCUUUAGAGGAUGACCAUUUACUUCCAUGUCAACAUAUAACAUAACCUGAAAUAAGCCAUAAAAGUUAACUCGGCUUCGUUAAAACCACAGAGAAAAUCAAUAUUUGAAAGGCAUGAGGUAGUUUUACGUACCACCCUUGCAAAAGCUUCAGGAUUGUAUUCCAAUGCUGCUGCCCAGUUUUCUUCAAUUCCUUUCUGGAAAAUAUGCAAAACAUGGAAAAGCUCUAACACAAUUAGACCGAACUUCCAUUGCAUAUUGGAUAUUUUGCCAUUUUUUGGAAAAGACAUCGCAAUGAAAGAGAAAACUACUAUAAGGUAGAAGGAAAAAUAUUGGCAACAGAAUUUGCGAAGAGAGUAAGGACGAUCAAGGACAAGUUCCACAAACUCUAGCAGCCAAUCAAUCAAUUAGGUCCAAAUCCAAAUUAGUUGGGAUCGGCUAUGUGAAUCUUGGCUAUGUGAGUCCUCUAUGUAUAUAGAUCAAUCAAAUCAACUAUAAGUUCCACAGUCUUUGUCGUCAAAAAUGAACAAGCAAAAGCUACAGAUGAUUGCAAGAGACGCUAGUAGGAAAGGAUACAAUCCUCAUUUAAAUGAACGUCAUUUGUUCGUAUUCGAGUGUCUCAAUAUAAAAGCCACUUAACUUUGCCAAAUCGAUAUUAGAUCAAAUAAUAAAUGUCCUACUGAAGAAGUUAUUUCAGACAUUUGCCAAUAUAUUUAUCUAUUCCAAUGGUAAGUCUUGCUUAAAUUAAUGCGCUUUCAGAAAAAUACUGGAAAAAGAGCAAGAAUGACUGUUUAUGGUCCAUUCACGCGUAAAGAACCAUAUUGAAAUUAAAGAAUGUAACAAACGGAACGCUUGUGCUAAUAACUUGAAACAGUCUCCGGAACAUCAUCCGGUACACUUCUGCCAAUGUAAAUGUCGACAAAAGAAUACAAUAGAAAAGAAAAAUAAAAGAUAAUUAUAAUUGAAAACAAUAAAGAUGACAAGAUUUAUUAUGCCAACUAACCUGGCGAAUUGCUUCUUCUAUUUUCCUUUGUGCCUCGACAUCGAAUGGAUCAGCAUAAAGCAGUGCCUAUAAUUCAACAUAAUGUAGAUUAAUCAAUGAAUAUCAAUCAAUCUACUACUCCUCAAUCCCGAAUUAUCUGGGUCAGCUAUAUGAAUCCUCUUUAAUCAUUCCACUUAAUGCAUAUCAGAGUGGACACGUCCCACCAAAGGAAACAAAAUUUUCAGAUGUCUAUAAAAAAGUUAGAAUUAGAAACAUUUAGAUCAAAUGAUUGAGAAAUAUUGAGCUAUCCUGCCUAUUUCAUAUAUGCUAGGGGCAAAGGUUCAGACUUCAGAUAGCAAAAACAAAGUGUAAAGCCUGAUCACAUAACUUUGCAAGCUUUUGAAGGUGUUCUGCGAAGUUAUAUAGUACAUAUCAAAAUGGAUCAGAUAACUUUGCAGAACACCUUCAAAAGCCUCUGCCAAUUCCUUAAUGUCACAUUCUUAGUAGAUUUUACGAGAUAACCGUGACCUUGCCAUAAAAGAAAGCACACGAUCCUAAAUGGAGCAAACAAAAUAACUGUUCUCAAAAUGCGGCAUAAGGAGAUGUUACAUUCUGCUCUUCUUACAGCCAAUCACUAGCUUUCAGUUCCAAGACAUCAUUUAGCAAGUAGUUAUGAAACAAUCAACAUGGGACUCUCAAGAUUGUGGAUAACAACAACUACAUUAAAAUAUACAGAAAAAGAUAGCAAUUUAGCAAUAGAAGCUCCUGACCAUCUCCUCUUCUUGACGACGCCGUAGCUCUGAUUUGUGCUGAUGACGCAGACGCAGAAGGUCUUGCAGCUUAUUUAGGUCAUUACCGAGGACAGCUUGUGCUAACUCAGGAUCAUUCUGCAAGUUCAAACAUCAUAUACAGGCUCAUGGGACCUCUGUGCUAUAUUGCAAACCAGCCACAAAGUGGAGCGGACUAGAACAAAAUUAAUGGAUCACAUGUCCACAUCAGAAUAAUUAGAGGAAUCCAUCAGAAUGCAUAUGAAACUUUCCUCUCCAAAUCUAACUAAUCCCUCAUUGCGCACAUAAGAUCAUGAUGAAGUCAUAAUUACCAAUCAUUUAAAAAUCAGACCAGUCCAACAAAAUCGCAAAUAUGAGAAGAACCCACAAAAAAAUUAUGAAACUUCCUUUCAAAGUAUAACUAAUCCUUCAGCAUACCUAUAAGGUCGUGAUAAAGUCAUUAGUGGGGGAGGUGUGAAAUAAUAGAUCAAAUUGGAAAAUGGGUGCUUAUAGUUAAAAAAACCUUUGAGCAGGUCAUAUGAUGGAAACAACAAUGCUUUUGGAGAUUGAUUUUCUUAAAUUGUUUUACCAAAAGCAAAAAAAAAAAAAAGGAAAUGGCUAACUUGCUCCACCUGAAAAAGCUGGGCCAUCAAAUUGGAAUCAUUUCUCAAGUGUUGUUGGAAAGCUGAAGGAUUUACAGCAGAUCCAUCUUGCUUGAAGCUCAAGUCAUUUGCAGGUGCACUGAAAUGCAUUCUUAUUGUUAGCAGAAGAUGAAAGACGAGAUGUAUUUGCAGGAUAUGGCCGAGCAAAUGGGUAAAGGGUAACAACAUGGGACAAUAAACAGGCAAUAAAAUAACAAAACACGAACAAAAGCAAUAUGAGCCGAAAAUGCACCUAGACAAGGAUGUUGCACUAGAUACCAUCAUCACCAAAUCUCCAUCACCAACGCCAAGAGCGCUCAGUUUGUCAGAAUUCNNNNNNNNNUAUAUAUAUAUAUAUAUAUAUAUAUAUAUAUAUAUAUAUAUAUAUAUAUAUAUAUAUAAAGUGAUAAUUCAACCACAAUCGAUAUGUUACUCUUCCUUUUUAUUUUGAGUUACUAUACACCGACGGUGAAAAAAAAAUUACACAAUCAGGUUACUCAAUAUGCAAUUACAGGUACAUUGCUAGACAAACAUUAAUUGUAAUAUGGUAAUAGUGGUAACUAACCUGGGAUUAAAAUUACUGACUUUACACAGUCGGUGUACAUAAUUUAAAUCCUUUUAUAUUCUCUUAGUUCAUAUCUACCAAUUUUCCAAAUCGUUUCACACAAUUCCAUCAACUACAUUAUUGUAUAUAACUUUCACAACUUUGCAGAAUUCAAAUUCAUUUACUAAUCAAAAUUUGAACUUUAACAUAGUGUUUUCUCUAUCGAACUAACUUUCAACUGUUUAUUUAAGUUUUCUUCUAUUAUCACCGUAUAAACACACACACACACACAUAAUCACCGUGUCGUAUAAAAUUUUAAAAAAAAAUCCAACUAACCUCAACUUCCAGUAGAGCUUUCAGGUUCUCUACCUGGAGUACACACAAUAACAAACAUCUUCAGCAUUAAAAAAAACUUUAAGAUCCAAAUGUAUCAGCAAAACUUAGGGUUUUAGGCCUGCUAUUAAAAUUAUAUAUAAAAAAUGGAAAAGGAGACUAAUGAGAGUGAAUUAUACAGAUUCAUCACGAUCGACAUCGAGAGUGACGAUUUGUUCGUCAGUUGUCAUUACAGUGAUCUUCAUCUUCCACGAUUCCAGUUAGGAACAGAUGAACAGUUACUUGAAAGGACUUGGAUGUCAAUUCUCCGGCGCUGUUGUCGUUUCUUAUUGCCGAAGAAAUUUCGAACUCCGUUUUGUUAUUCCCAAUAUCCAGCUUUUCGCUGGAGGGAUGAAUUUGAAGGACUGCGUGUACGAUAGUCAAAACAGCUCAUAAGUUAUAAUCGCAUUCAGGAAAUACGAUUUAUAAGUCGCAGUUAAUAAAUGCAUAAGUCACAUUCACUAAUGGAGUCCGUAUUUUUUGAUAUGUGUGACAUAAAUAUGUAUAAAACCAUUCGAUAUAUAACGCGCUUUUAUACCGCGAGGUACGCUGUUAUCUCUUUUAGUUGCACAGUUUGCAUGUGACCCGAUGAUGGGUCCCACUAUGGAAGUUGAAUUAAAUAGUGCAAAUUUAUUUAAACAAAUUUAUUUUAACCUAACAUAGCAUUAGUUAAAAGAAUUUACUGCUUUUCUAAACAAACGUCAUCAUGCCAUUUAAAAGUUGAGUUUAAGCGGGCGUUUGGACAUAAAAAUUAUAAUUUUAAAAAAUAAUAUUUGGACUUAAGUCGAAAAAUAAUAUUUAAAUAUACAUUUUACUUGAAAAAAUUUUUGUGGACAAAUAUGGCCUAAAGAAUUUUUGUAGCAGAGUUGAUUAGCUACCUUAAUUUUCGUUUUAUUUAUGAGGGAUCGAUUGUUCAUCUUGUCAUCCCCUCCCUUAUUUCUCCUUCCAGCAAAAAAAAAUGAGUUUAAGAACUUUACUAGGGUGAAUGAAAUUGUUGUAUCAUUCAAAGGUAAAAUUAAACUGAAGUCCUUUUGCAUUUAUUUAUUUUUUAUUAUUUGCAGAUUUUCCUUUCUUCGAUAAAUCAAUAAAAUGGGAGAUAAACUGUUUUCUCUUAAAAGUCUAUUAUAGCUAAAUAUAUUUAUGUUAAACAUAAAUUAGUAGUCCUGGAAAACAGUGACGCUUUGAAAGAAUAGAUAUAUGAUUGAAAAGAGAUAUGUAUAACGCAGUCUUUAAUAGCGCUAUGUGUGAAAAUACAAACACAACGUAUAGCGCGGUAUAAAACCGCGUUAUAUAUAGAAUGAUCAUUCUUUUUUUUUACAUAUAUUUAUGUCACACUUGUUCAAAAAGAUCACAAUUUGGUUCUGGACUCUUCACUAAUGCUCAUAUAAGUCGCAUUCACUAACACCCUACAGAAGUAACAUUUCUGCAAUACGCUUCAGAAGUAAUAUUUUUAACUACAGUUUAUUAGUUUUAUUUACUUCAAAUAGCGUAUUUUACUUUUUUUUUUUUGUAUUUCUAUAUCUCUCACAAAAAUUACAUACUAAUGAAAUUUCAACCAAAAUUACAGGAAAACUUCCCAUACUCCUUCCCCGUACCCCCCCACCCCCACCACCACCAUCCCACACACGCAAACACCAAAUCCCCCUUCCCUCCUACUUUUUUCCUUCCUUUUUUGUUAUUUUUUUUAUUUCUUUUUUGCGGACUCUUUAUACAAACCGAUCGAAUUUAAUAUUUAUUGAUUAUUUUUUCUAGACGAUAUGCAUAAAUUAUAUAUUGAUUAUAUAGAUAUUCUACAUACAUACAUACACACACACACACACACACACACAUAUAUAUAUAUAUAUAUAUAUAUAUAUAUAUAUANNNNNNNNNNNNNNNNNNNNNNNNNAGUAAGGGGGUAGUAGAAAGUUUAAAAAGGGGCGGGGGGGGGGGGGGUGAGGGAAGGACCGAAAAAGGAAUAGACUAAAUUGACAAUUACGUAAUAAAAAUAAACUAAUUCAGAAAGAGAUUAUAGAAAAAUUAUAAAUCAAUUGACUAGUAAAUAAGGAGUGGUAAGUAUCUAUGAUUUUUUUUUAUAAGAAAACGUUACCAAAAAAACAAUUUAGAAAACAAACAAUCAAGUUGUAGAGUGGGUUUCGAACCCAGGUAUACAGGUAAAGAAAGGAACUAGCGCCGUCCAAAAACUAGCCUCGCCAUUCCACUUUAAUGUUCAAGGGGGGCAAGAAAAAUAUAUUAGGGGUCCUCCGUAUACAUACAGCCAUAUAUAUACAUGAUUUUUGCCGAGGCUAACGGGGUCCUGUGACCUUUCAACACUCUAUCUAGGUCCGCCCCUGCAUAUACAUGUGUGAAAAUAAUAACACGUAAUCUAUACACGCAAAUUCCUUGAUUAUACGUACAAAUUAAUAAGUUCUUUACACAAAGAUAGAUAUGUACAUAUUUUUCUAAAAAUGUUAUACCUAACCCAUUCAUAGAGAGUUUGAGAGGUUGUGAAAAUGUUGCUUUAGCUAGGGUUUGGAAAGCCACCAGGUAAUUGGAAUUGAUGUAAUUACUAGGGUAGUAAUUAUAAAGCCUAUUAAUUAUACAGUUGUGUAAUUACGACGACCUGUUUAUUUGUCAUAGUAUAAUUACAAGUUUACUGUUUGGUUGCACAAAUAUAAUUACACAAUUAAAUUAAAUUUUAAAUAAAGUAAUUAUUAAAACUUAAAAGUUAAUAUAAUAAAUAUAAGCUUAUAAAUUUUUAAAUGAUAUUAUAAUCGAUAUUUUAAGAUGUAUAUUUUUUCGUGAAUAUACAUUAACUAGUAAUCGUAUAUUUAUAACUAAUAUUGUAAAAAUAAUUUAUAUAUUUUUUCCAAAUUAAUAAUAUUUAGUUUAGAUACUUACAAAAACUAAAAACAUACGUUUUGUAAGAACAUCAUGAAAUUCAUGUUUGAUAAAAUAAUAUUUAUAAAUAUAAUGUCAUAACAUUAUUCAAAUGUUUGACAAAACUAAUCUAUCAAUUCUAACUAAAAAAUGAACAACAUACAAUGUGAGCCAAUACUACUAAAACAAAUAAAUUGGAACCAUGAAUAUAACACAAUUUUAAAAUUCAAAAAAAAAUAAUUUAACAUUUGUCAAAUUCCAACAUAAUAGUAGUAAGUUCUACUACAAAUUAAGAUCAUAAAAACAUAAUAAGUUUAUAACCAUAUUCAACAACGAAAUUUCACUUUAAUUGCAUUACUCAUUAUAUGCCUAGUUUGUUAAUGACUCAUUAUUUCUAAUAUUAGUAGGUGUAAUUUCAAAAAUAGAACAAUAAAAUUAAUAAAAAGAAAAUAUAAAAAAUUACACGGAAUCACAAGAAGUAAAGGUGGAGAAAUAAAAUAUGCAUGAUGUACAAAGAAAAACAUAUUUUAAAAUUUAAAAAAAGUAAAAAAAAAAAUUAUUAAAAAAAAUAGAAAUAAAAAGUUAUAAAGAAAAUAAAUUGAAAUAAAAACAAAAGGAAAGAAACUAAAACCCAAUAUUGUAAUUACCACCAAUUCUCACCUCCUCCCUUAAGAAUUGAAGAGUCCAAUUAUACCAAAUUUCAUGCUAACCACGUAAUUACCUGGCCAAACAGUAUAAUUACACCCAAUUACACCCAAAUUCAAUUCCUAUAUGGCCGCCCACACAGGCUCAAAGUUACUAAAGUUAAAAGUUACAAUUACAAUUUCUCUUUUUGUAUUAGGAUGUCAUAUUGCUCCUUUUGUAAUAGUAAUUGAAGCAAGUAGCACAACAUUCAUUAAAUAUAUAUACGUUAAUGUGAUCAAACUUGUUCUUCAAUAAAUAUUUAAUUAAUAAUGGUAUCGGCCACACAAGUGCAUACGAGAUCAACCACCAUUGUCAACCAAUGCACAUUAAAUAUAAAAGUAGUUUAAAUAAUUUAUAAAUAAUAGUAAAAUUUGUUUACUAUUAUAAAAGUUCAUUUUGGUAUUUUAGAAUUGAUCUACGUAUUAUUAAUAUUAAUAACUAUUACUAUAUUUUAGUAUUAAUAUAGUUAUUUUGGUAUAGAUUUUUUUUGUAAAUAUUUUAGUAUUAUUUUAUUAAUUCAUCUAACAACCAAACAUGCUCCUCCCUAAACCAACCAAACAAAGCCAGAAUCGUCUACCACAGUGGAGAGUAUAUAUACACGUAAAAUCUAUACAUCCAGAGGCCGACUGAUCUCUCCAGUUGGCGCCGAGAAAGACUAAAGUAGGCCUUUCCCCUCUCUUCUAAAACCCAUACAUCGGAGCCCUAGAUCUCCGUUUCCAUAAAUCACUGUUAUCUCAAUCCAAAACAUCGAGUUCACAUUUGCCCUAGCUUUGAGAAAUGAACAUUUGUAAAUUCAAAUGAUUGAAUUAGAUCCUAAUAGAGUCCGUAAUAUACCCAAAUUGUAUUGUUUUGUUUGAUGUGUGUUGUGAAAAUACUGUAAAUUUUGAACAAUUCGAUUAUGGCCGAUGGGAAGGUCGUUAAGCGUGCCAAGUACAAAUCUUCAGUCAAGGACCCUGGCGUUCCUGGCGUUUUGAAAUUGGUAAUUUUUUCCUUCCGAACCCCCUUGUAUUCAUAUGGACGUUAUGACUGAGCUGUGUACUUGUUUCCUAUGGCCAUGAACAAGGGGAAAAAAAUAACAAUGAUUUCUCAUUCCCGCCCCCCUAAAAAAAAGCAGCACUAACAAUAAAUGAUCCUAAUCCCAAGUAGACAAAUACUAGAUGAUUUUUUCUCAUAUGAUUAAACCUUGGUGGGUAGAGUUACUCCAUACUUGUGAUGGGAGAUAGCAGGCAGAGGCGGAGCUAGGAUUUGAAGCUUAUAGGUUUAACAUUCUAGUUCGUUUAAGUUACUGGGUUCUAAAUUAAUAAUUUGUACAUUGAAAAUUUCUUAAGACAAAUACAGGAUUUAGACCAAAGUUACUUGAUUUGGCCGAACCUCUAACUCCUACACUAGCUCCGCCCUUGGUAGCAGGUAGCAGGUACCCGUUGGAACAGUCGAUGUGAAGGUCCUCUCAAGAACACCAGCAUCAUAAAAAGAAAACAAAAGAGAAAUCCCAACUAGAGCCGACCUGAUAGAAGAUUCAUAUCACUACAUAAACUGGUCUGGGACUGAGAUCUAGUUGAUAAGUUGAACAAAAUAAACAUAACAGGAAUGCAACUGAUACACGGAGCUGGUAGAAAGAGGUGAAAAAGAGAGAAUAGUGAUUGGUCAGGUAACUGACUGGUAAACAUCUUUUUCUAGUAAUAUGUGGAAUAAGUGACUAAAAUUUGCGAAAAGGUAUCUAUUUAUUUUACCUAGCAGCAGAUUGCUGCUUAGAACAGUUGAUCUCUUUCAUUGUAUGAAUUAACAUAAUCUCUUUUACUGAUUAAAAUACGAGUAGAAUGGAUAUUGAACAUUAAAAUAAUCGACUCCAACUAGUGCAUGGUUGAUGCAUUCUUGUUACUUUUGUUUGCAUGAAAAAAAAAUGCAAUUUUGACAAUAGAGGGAUAGCCUAGCGGUAAGCACCCUCCUUUGAAUUCAAGGAUACAGUGGUACGAGGCUAUAGAACAAAUCCUGUUCAAGUAAGGUAGUCUAUUGAUAAUGACCCUCCAUCUUCAACCACAAGGACGGGGUAUGAGUCACCAAUGGUGCAAAAGUGGGAAAAGGCAUUGUUGGGCUCCUGGUUUGUGGUUUUGUUGGGUGGGCUUUUAAUUCGAAAAAAGAAAAAAAAAACACAAUACCUGAUGGGUUAUUGAUUCAGAAUAAUAAAUUCCUCUUUAAGAUGGUUUGAACUAUGAAUUUCAAUUUUUUAUCUGAUCUGUAUGGUAGAUUCUACUGCAGUUGUUGAUGCAACAAACUGUUGAUUUGCUAGUUUGUCUUUUCUAUUGUGCGUAGACCAAGGAACGGUUUUUCUUCAUGCCGAAUGACCCAACAUCCACGACAAAGCUUAAUGUGGAGUUCAAGUUGAUUAAAGGUGCUCCUCUCCAUCCUUUUCCCCCCUUUGACAGCACUUCUUUUCCCAGUACUUAGUUGAUGCAAAAUAUUCGGUCAAUUAAAAGUAGUUGAUUUAUAGGAGACGAUCGUAUGACUUUGGUUCUUUGUCAGUUCUUGUAUCUCUUUGAUAUUUUGCCUUGAUUCUGAUUUUUCUGUUGCCUGCAAUAAAUGGCGUACGCAGAAUUUUUCAUAAAGGGGUGUCACACUUUAAAAGUGUACAGUAAACAAAACACUACAAACAACAUCAUAUAAAAAAAAGAAUACAAUUUGAAUCAUAUUAAUAAAACACACUCAAAUAUAUUACUACAAUUCUUUUCGAUGAAUUUUGUUUGUUGAAAAGUAUUCAAAAUAGCCUCAUUAAAAAUAAUACUAAAUACUAAAUUAAUUACCAAAAAAAUACUAAAUACUAUUUUUCUAUAUAAAGUACCUAAUAUAGUGGGUCGUUGUUGUUGUUGUAAAGUACCUAAUAAUCACUAAAAGUAAUGUUCUUAAUCAAUUUUAUUGGCUAUAAAGAAGAUGGAAGGAAAAAGGGAAAAAUAGUACAACUACUAACCAUGGAAACAAAUAAUUUAUUGUCACAAAAAAUUACAGAACUGAAGGUCAACAGUUCGACCCUUGCUCAAUACAAUUUGUUUUUUUGUGUAAAUGAGGCACAAAACUUUUGAAAUAAUAGAUGAACCUUUCAGGCUUCGAACAAACGACCUACACUAGAAAAAUGAGGUGUCUGACCAAUUUAGCUACACAGUAUUUGUUUCAAGUGGUGUCACUUGAAGUUAUUUAAUCGUAUUUUGUUUCUGGCUUUUAAUUAUAUAUACAUAUUUAGGCUGCAAUUCCUCUUUCCACUCUACUUUAAUAAUAAAUUUUGUGUGUGUUAUCCAUUACUAAUGUGCUGUCCACACUUGACGUCUCUCUUCGCUUCUCUCUCUCUCUCUCUCUCUCUCUCUCUCUCUCUCUCUGUCUGUCUGACUGUCUGAACUCUCUUUUCAGGCCACAGGUCUUCUAAAGAGGGUUCAAGUAAGCAGGCUCUUCUUAAUCUCAUGCACGAUCAGGUUCAGAUUUAUGAUUACCAAAAGAAUUUGAUUUGUGAGCACUUUCUUGUAUGACUGUUUUCUCUGCGUCUGGUGAAGUCUAGAAAUAGUAGACUCAUCCCAGUACUGGUGAAGUCUACAAACUGCUAACUGAUCUGAGUACUGCAACUAAAUAUGGUCCAUUUUCUAUCGUUUUCAGGGCAGGAGUUAUAUUUUUGAGUUUGAUAGCUUCCCGGACCGCGACAAGUGUCGAGAAUUCGUUGGUUAGUCUUCUGACAUGCAUUGACUCAUAUCGUUCAGUUUCAUCAUCCAGCUACUAGUGGACCACUCUGCUUCAAAUAUGUGAAAACUUGAAAUAUACUGGACUUUGUUUUUUGGGGGUCUUGUUGUUGAUUCUUUUUUGCGGUGUGUGACCAAAUCUGCUUGCUCUUUGUUUUCACGUACUAGCUGUAUGGAGUUUGUACUUGAUUAUUCUGGAUAGUUAGCCAGUAACAACUAACAUGUAGACAUUCGUUUUCUUUUGAGAUUUUGAGUUUGUUUGUUUGCUUUCUCUAUUUUUCUUCCUGAUGGCUUUUCCUUUUGGGCUAAUAUUAAUUACACUUUAAAAGAUCAACUGCUUUUCCUUUUGAGCCCAGCAAGGUUAGAUUAGAACUCAAUGAAGUCAUUAGUCAUUGAGUUGAUCUUGGUUUAAAAAGAGGAUGCAAAACAAUUUGUAAAACGGCAGAGAUGGGCUGAGACCAGCCUUCUCGUGGUAUUGGACAACCCUUUCCUCCACGCGUCCUUUGCUCCUGCAUGCAAGUGCAGAAUUGGCUAGGUGCUGAAUUUGAGCCUUUCAUCAGAGCACUGCAGGAUAUAAGAAAUUGCUGCUUAAUCCAUGUAUAUAUAAUUGGCAUUAGUUAUUAUAUACGAGCCAAGUCUUGGUUUUCUGUUUAGUGACUCUUUGUUGUCUAACUUGCUUCGGUGUCUAUAAGAUAGAAGUAUCAAAAUUAGAGUAUGGCUUCUUGGAAGUCUUAAAUAUUUCUUUUUCACUGUUUGUAUUACUAUUUGAGUGGUUCAACACCAGCUAGUCCAUUAAAGAGUAUGUGGUUACUAUAUGAUACCCUGCCCUGGAUGUUCCAGUUGGUAUUUUUAACAUUAUGUGUACUUACAAACAUGUUGCCCUUGAACAGCCUCUGCAAUUGCGGCUUGUGGAGAAGUUGUGAAAGCUGCUUCUGAAAAACCUGCUGUUCCACAUGAUGAACAACUCAGUGCAGCAGAAAUGGGACGUCGGAUUAAGUUACUGCAGGAUAAUAGGUGAAUGGAAUUUAUUCUUUUCUUUUUGGUUCAAUGUUGCAGAAGACUGGGGCUUUUUCUAAAACCCCUUUGUGAUGCUAGCUAACGUUGUAAAUGUGUCUUGUAACUGCUACCAUUUUGCUUAAAAUCUGCAAUUUUUGUUGCUCCUUUUCUUUCUAAUAAUGGCAUUUCAUCUUGACCUUUUUAUUUUCUCUUGUGAUAUCACUAAAAAGUAUAAGUGGCAGUGAAUUGCAGAAACUCCACAGGCAAUUGGUCAUUGGAGGUAUUCUAUCAGAGGCUGAAUUUUGGGCCGCUAGGAAGGUUAGUAGAUAGAAAGACCUUGUUAAAUAGAUUAUUUUUUAUAAACAUGAUAAAUCAUUACUCUUGCUAAAACUUUUGAGAUAUACCUAGACGCCUAAGCAGCUGGCGGCUGCUUCCUAUAGACUUGACUAUAUUCUAUCUUGCCAAUCGAUUGCAGAAGCUACUGGAACAGGGCGAUAUCAAGAAGCCAAAACAACGGGUGGCUUUAAAAAAUGACAUGUGGAGUGUUAAACCUUUAUCUGAUGGUCAGGUAAGAGAGAAAUCUUCUCUCCCUGGUCUGGGUGUUACCAUAUUUGUGUGAACACAUGGCUCACAUUUUUUUGAUAGGGUGCUGUAUUUUCUAUUCCAAGAUAUGUAUAAGCAAAAGUGAUUUUCUUGAAUUCUGAUCAGGUCCUUUUUAUCUUAAUUCUGAAGGAUGCUUAGUGUUACAAUGAACUUCUGACUCCUUUUGCUAAUAAACGACUAGAAGCAGAUAAAAAUGCAAAUAUCUUGGCUUUAAACAUUGUAUUGUCGAAAAUGUGUUCUGCAGUCUCUUCUCUCCCGCUCCCCUUUGAACUGGUGACCUCUGUGCUCAUUGAUCGUGAAGCUUGACAACCUGUUUUUUUUCAUUGUUGUUUCAGACGAACAGAGUUACAUUUAACUUGACACCGGAGGUUAUUCAUCAGGUAACCAUAUUUGUUUUAUGAAGUGGUUAAAUUGAUUCUUAUUCAAACAGUAUGAAGAAGUGAAACUCAGCUUGAAUAAGGUCACUAUCAAUGCAUGUUGUUCUUGUUCAUAGUCUAGACGAUGUAGGUCAAGGAUGGGACACUUCCUCCUUUUAGGUCAUUAUAAAAAAAUGGCUUCUAGAUCUGAUUAGGAGGAGAUGUCAAAGUGAGAAAUAUACUGGAACUAUCGGGUUAGAGGGUUCAGGCUGGAGCAGCAAAAUAGCAAGAAAAAAUGCUGUAUACUGAGCUGGGUGCUGCCAACCCGUACUUGACAAUAGAGAGCGGAGGUAGGUUGAUGCUUCCCACUUUCUGGGCUUGUGAAUUGUGAUGACGCAAAAAGGUGUUUGUCUAGGAAUGUUUUCGAGCAACAAUCGCGUGGUAGGAUUUUGUUUGGGUUAUGUCUUUUUUUUAAACACAAGUAGUUAAAUUAGGUUGCUUUCUGGAAACUAAAAUACAUUAGUUUCACACCCUCCUUGGAAAUGUAAAUAAUUAGCUUCAGAAGUAAUUGAGAAAUGCUGCCAAGCUCAUUUUUGAAACCAAUCCUUCAAAACCUAAACCACAGCCAAGUUCAAAUGCCACCGCCAUUGAGUUUUCUAUUCUUGAAACCAAAAUAAUUAGGUUUUGCAAACCAAAUAAGUUUGGUUUCUGUAUUUGGAAAUGUUGCCCAAAAACAUUUGGCAACCAAAAACCAUUUCAGAUGUGGUUGAAUUGUAGUUUUGAAGAGUUACAGUUACAUAGAAUAAAAAGUGAAGAGGUAAAAAAGGGAACUUCCAUAUUUACCCUUUCUCAGCCAAAAAGAAAAAGGAGAACUUCCAGGCAUCAUCUCUUAAGGCUGGAUUUGCAUUGUACAAUUCAGGCUUAAGCACAAUUACUUAAAUUGGUCUGGUGAUUGAAUCUUCAAAGCAUCACUGUGGUUAAGAGCUUACACAACUUGUUCCCAAUCCAAACAGGACUGCAAAAUCAUCAGAGGAGCUAGCUUUCUGGGCUGUUUCUUGACACUAAUUAUCUAAAGCCAUAACUUGACCACAAGAAGGGAAAGAAUCUGAGAUUCCAAAAUUUUCUGCAAUGCACAGAAAUGUGGAAAAUUCUGAAGGCCAAUAUGACCUUGAAACUUUUGAGUAUAUGCUUUGAGCCAGAAAGUUAGAGAAAUAAAGUUAAACAAUACAUGAGUCAGAUUUCAGGGUUUGAACGUUGAAAGUUGAACUAGCUCCAAGAAUUUAAUCUGUCUUAAAUUUUUAAGAAAUUUGGUCCCUAGGGUUCUGGUCUAAUGGUAAGAGUGCAACACAUGAUGUGUGGGGUUCGAAUCCUACCGCAGACAAAAGUCUGGUUUUAAGUGGAGAAGGGUUAGAGAGGCAGGCCCAUUAUCCACCGAGUUUCAAAGCGUGCCAGUCGCAUUCUCUGGCCCAAUUGCUUUCUUUCUGUAUUUCUGAUUUAUCCACUACGUCCAAUUGCCCUUGCAGAUUUUUGGGUUAUAAAUUUUUUUCUCUGAAAUUUACAUCAGAAAUAUUCUAUACUUGUGCCUCCAGAACUUAAUUAACAAUCUUUGGUUUCUUUAGAGCUAAAUCUUUAAAAAAAAAUUAAAAUGGCAUAUCAACAGGCUAGUACGAUAUGUGCAGUGCUUUCUGUUCUGCAGAGCCCAUUCCCCGCUACUUAUUGGCUCUAGGAUGUAGUCAGAUUCUCUGUUCAGUAAUCAAAAUUUAACAAAAAUAUACACGAAAAAGAAUCCAUCUUUGGGUCUCUUUACGCCUCAUUCUUUGUCUGAAGUUGCUGUAAUGGAGUUCUCAAAAAAAAGUUGCUGUAAUAGAUUUCUAAUUCUUCUAGUUCUGAUGUUCUUCCCACAGUUCGUGAAAAUGUAAUAUUAGAAGGCUAGGUUAUGAAAUUUAAAUGACAGAAGCUGACAACUGAGCUUUUUCAAGGUUCUUUAUAAUAAAGAAGUAUCGGUAGCUUUUACUUAUAACACUGUUUUAUACUGUCUAAUCAUAUGCUGAAUAUGUUUCAGAUUUUUGCUGAGAAACCAGCUGUCCGCCAAGCAUAUUUGAAAUUUGUUCCGGGCAAGGUAAAAGUAUUGUCAGCAAGCGGUAUAGACAAUUCAUUGGAUUUCAAUCCGAUUAUCUUGUGAGCUUUUCCUGCGCAAAAGCAUGCUGAGACAGAUAUGCAUGCUUAGCUUGUCCACAAAAGUUGACCUAAUUUAAGAUCAUUCAAGCAUCUUCGAUUGAAGCUUUAGUGAACCUUUCCAAUUACAAUCGAAUAUAGGAGUGGGACAAGAUAACCCCUUUGCUUCCUUAUCAUAAUUCGUCUACAGGUCCAUCUAAACUGCUUUACUAAUUGGUAACAAACACCCAAAGCCACCUAUGAUGACAGCGAUUAUCUGAGAAUGAUUCACAUUGUACUUUUAUCAGUCAAGUUGGAUUUUUGAAUUCUGAAUCUUGUCAGUUGCAUGGUGCGUCUUUUGCUUAUAUUCUCUUUCUCAGAUGUCAGAAAAAGAAUUCUGGACUAAAUAUUCAAGAGCUGAAUACCUCCACAGCACAAAAAAUAUUGUUGCAGCAGCUGCUGAGGCUGCUGAAGAUGAGGAGCUUGCGGUUUUCUUGAAGCAAGAUGACAUGUUAGCAUUUGAAGCUCGUAAGAAGGUGUGUGCACUAGAUGAUUACUGUUUUCAUUGUUUUCUAACAACAUCCAUCCUAAAAGGACUUCCAUCGAGUGUUCUUGUUUCCCUCUUUCCUUUCUCUUUUCCCUUGAGAGAGGUGGAUGGAGAAGUGUUUCCAGAAGUCUUUACAGAAGUUGUAUUCUUUUCAGAUCAGAAGGGUGGAUCCAACUCUGGACAUGGAAGCAGAUGAAGGUGACGAUUACAUGCAUCUCCCGGUACAUCAACAAAACUUUAUUAUUUAAUCAUCUUGUUAGAUAGGAUUUGCUGUCCAUGUUUUUCCCCAUGCGUUGAACUAAGAAGCAUAAUGUUCUUUGAUAGAAAAAGUAAGGUUCUCGACUAGUUAUAAAGUGGUGAUCAUGGUGUCUGUGGAUAUAAAAUCUGAGAGAUAUCAGUGAAAUGGUGGAUUCUUAAUGAGACAAUACUGCUUACGAUAUGUUUUUUUCCCAAACAUCCCCUCUUCCGGUUACACUGAGUUUUGCAUAGCUUGUGUACCUUGGAAAACAUAUUUGUAGUGGAUAGGACCUCCUAUUCUUGUAUCUGCUUUGCUAUAACCCCUUAAAAGUGAAAUGGAGCUAACAUAUUCAUAUGCCAUGGUAAAAAAUAGGAUCAUGGGCUACCUCUGGAUGAAACUAAAGAGAUUCUGGAACCACAGUAUGAACCAUUCAAGAGGUCGUUCUCGCAGUACCUCAACCAGCAUGCAGCAGUAGUUCUUCGAGGAAGAGUUAUAGGUAAGCUUCUUUUUUAACAAGCUCUAUCGUUAACACCACUCCGUCCUUUUUUUGAGUAGUUUCUUUUAGACUCCUUUCCCUGAGACAAAUUGUGAAGCAGACUGAAGUUUUCUCUAUGUCGGGUGCAAAUGAUUAAGAUUUUAUGUGUGUACUACUGGUUCUCUGUUAUGCAUCAUUGUUGUGUCUUCUAUGUGAAUGUCCUUGAUAGCUGCAGCUUAGGGUUGGGAGAGGGAGAGCCUUACAUAGUGGGUUAGUGGUUCUGGCUGCCUUUGUUUAAACUGAGUUGCUAUUAUUUCAUAUUUGACUUGAUGUUUGCCCUUCUUAUUGUCUCACCAAUCUGGGAAGAUGUUGAGCUGGGUGACACAAGAUCUGUUGCUGAAGCAUUCACCAGGACAAAUCAGGGUAAAAUGUAUUUACUACUCCAUACAGUUGUCCAUUCUUCCUAGCCAAAAAAGGCUUAUACAAGUCAUUUCGUUGGUGGAAUAGCUGAACUAGCUGCCGAAGUGUCUGAUGAGAGUGCAUAUAGAGAACGGAUAGCUAAAGUUUCUCGAGUUGCUGAAAUUGAGGAUCUUCAGGGACCUCAUGAGCCACCAGUUGCAUUGCUAAGUAUCAAGGUGUGGCGUUCAUCAGUUCUGUUUUGUUGAAUUCCCAUUAAUCAUGAUUCAUUGGAUUAUCUAAUACAUCGAUUGUUUCCUAAAUCAGGAUCCUCGGGAUUACUUUGAUUCUCAGCAAGCAAAUGCAAUAAAGGCUUUGGGGGAUGGUGGUACAGGGACAAGACAGCUGAAAUUUAAUGUGAGCAAAGAAGAUGCCUUUUGCUCCCUGAAGAACUCCAUCUCCGAGAUAAAUUCACAAGGAUUGACCGAACCAAUAAUUAGUCCAGAAGUAGCUCUCAAGGUAUUUUCACUUUUUUUAAAUUAGGAAAUUGCCAUUGAAUGCUAUCCUAUUGUCAUGGAGAAGUUGAACUUUAAAUCAUUGUUAAUAGGUUCUCAACGGGCUUAGUCAGAAUAUCUCGAGUACAAAGUAUCAUCUGGGAAAGAACCCCCAUGAGAGUGUUUUAGAUCGGCUGCCUAGUGCAACGAAAGAUGAACUAUUACUCGUGAGUUGUUUUUACAGGGUGAUUUAAGUUAUUCUGGAUCUGAAAUAUUUGACCAGACUUUAUUAUUCCGCUCAUAAAAUUCUGUUAAUCAUGACGAUUGAUAAUUUUCAUUUUACUUCUAGCAUUGGACAUCAAUUCAGGAAUUAUUGAAGCACUUCUGGUCAUCUUAUCCAAUAACCGCAAAAUAUUUCUACACCAAGGUAACAUUUUUGAAUUUUGACGUUUUAAAUAUCAACAAUGUUUUAGACCACCUCUUUCUUGCCGGCGUAAUUAUGUGCGUUACGGUCCAAAAGAAAGAUUUAGUGUUUACAAACUUUUUCUCUUUUUUUUUUUGGUAGAAAUACGAAAUUUUCAUUCAUUAACUAAUUCUAUUACAUAAAGCUAGCAUCCCAUUGGGCUCAUCAGUAGAUACAGCCACCGUGCUGUUUACAUUUGGAUUGCAAGUUACAAAAGGGUUCCCAAGUUCAACUAAGCUAGUAAAUACAGUACUAGAUACAAGCCUAGAUUUAGACAUUUAGUAGAGCCAAUCUUGUCGUCAUGGACUAUUUUCAAAAAAGCACUCGGCGGUUGUUCCAAAAGAGACAACGGGCUAUUGUUUGCUUGCUUGGAUCCCUGGGUGGCCAAAAAGUGAGCAACCUUGUUUCCUUCCCUGAAGAUAUGCUUGAUCGGCGGAUUCUCUAGUUUCUUCAGUAGUGACCUGCACUCAGUAACCAAGUUAGAAUACAUUGAACAAGUAUCUCCAUCAAUUAGGCAAAUGAUAUCCGUAGCAUCAGUUUCGAUUUCUAAAUUUAAGAAGUUUCUUUCACAGGCUAAUUGUAGCCUAGUCUUGAGAGCUAGUAGCUCCAUGUAAGCAGGGGUAUAUAUCCAAAAUUUUGAGUGUCUUAUUUAUUAACUUUAUUGUGUAAUUUUCCUCCAAUGAUGCACACAAAAUCUGGUACUAUUUAAGUGGAAAGGGUAGAGAGGCGGCCCAUUAUCCAUCGAAUUUCUAAUUGUGCACCACUGGCCCUUGAGGAUUUUACCUAUCCUAAGUUGAGGGUCUUCCGGAAACAACCUCUCUGCCUUCUUGAAGGUAGGGGUAAGGUCUGCGUACACACUACCCUCCCAGACUCCACUUGUGGAAUUACACUGUAUUUUGUUGUUGUUGUUGGCCCUCGGGGAUUUCUUGAUUAUUUGAAGGAAAAAAACAUGAUACUUUUGUCAUUUUGUUCAUGUUUUUUCCUUCUUAUAUGGAAUCAUUUUCAACAAAGAUUUCCAUCUGUUGGCCUCUUUUGAUCCUUGUCAUUUUUGACAGGUGACUAGAUUAAAGGAUGCAAUGUCUCAGAUAUACCCCAAGUUGCAGGUAAUAAUCUUUUGCAAAUGGAUAAAUAUGCACUUUCUAGUUUUUUCCCCCUUUUGCAGUUUCAUUGCAGGUUCUUCAUGUCUUUCGUUUUUUCUUUUUCAUUUGUCUUUAAAUCUCUAAUGCACCAAAUAAAGCAUGGCCUGUAUUGAAAAUAUGUCGUGCAAAUUUUUUCAAUUUCAUGUUUGAGUACAAAGUGAAUAAUCUAAAGCAGAAGAUAAAUCAAUAGUGCUAUUUAGAUUAGCUUGGCUUUGGUAUAGAUUGUUUAGGUUGAUUUUAGAAACAAAACAAUUCACCAUGGAACUAUGUCACUUGUGACAAUAAGAAAAUGUCUCUAAGUUUAGAGGUGGUUGUGGUUUUGAGAUUAGCUGACUCUCCAUGAAUCUUUUGAAUAUGACUUUUUUUUACAUUCUCGAGAAAUCAUUUUUAUCAAUAUAUUAAUGAUCUCUCAUCGUCAUUUGAAAAGACUGAUGUAGUAAUAACAGGUUAAUUAAAUGACUGAGAACAAGCAAAUGGAAAAACGAACUACCGGUAUUUGUAUGGUAAAAAAAAAUCUAAAAUCUUUUUAGAUUAAUAAAAAGAACAAUGAAGUAAAUUAAUAAAAUGAUAUUACAAAGCAAACCAGGUGCUUGCUGCUGGUGCUGGGAAAUAUUUGGUGGUAGGGCUGAUGCAUGAGAAGCCAAUCGCUUCCCUGCCCAGCAACUCCAUUGCCAUCCUGUAGGUGCAGUUUGAUAGUGUUUAAUUCUUGCUAUCUUUCAGCAUAUUGUUUUUGAGGAGUUGUUUCUUGUUUGUUUGAAUUUUCAAGUUUUCUAUUGACUUUCAGGAGAUCAAGGAAUCUGUGCAAUCGGAUUUCAGGCAUCAAGUUUCCCUUCUUGUACAGCCAAUGCUUCAGGUUAACUUCUGGCUUCAGGACCACUAAUAGUAGAGUAUGGGAGUACUCUCCCUGCAGCAAAAUCAUUUGAAUAAUCGUACUCUUGCUUAAUUUAAUUCUCAACCAUGUUAUGCCGACAUUUUAUGUUCUCUAAGGUCUCUUGUUUUUCUCCAGUUUCCCUUUUGAGAUAUUUGAGACAAUAAUGUUAUUUUGGCUGGACUUUUAGCAUUUUGGCAUUCCCUGAUGGAAGAUGCCGCGAUCUUCUUUUUAAUUGAAUGAAGUGCUUACUAUGGAGGAGUUAUAUUUUGUUUCUUGCUGCACUUCGGUUUAUCCACUCGAUCUCAUGGAAAAGUUCGUGUCUUUACAGGCUUUAGAUGCUGCCUUUGCCCAUUAUGAUGCAGAUAUACAGAAGAGAUCUGCCAAAAGUGGGGAGAGACCAAAUGGAUUUGCUUAGGCAAAAAUUUUCUCCAUUUUCAUCCGAUAUUUAAGCCCUUUGUUUUCUGGGGGUUAUAUACACGAAUGUACAUUUAACAAAAUUUUGUUCGAGUGUGUUACAGCAUAUUCUAUAUCUUGACAGUUCUAAUUGACUGCCUGCGGUAAUUGUACAUCUAGUGGAAUUUUGUUAAGUUAUUCUAUUCAAAAUGUCCCUUUUUCUUCCUUCAUCUGUGUUGGUUGAUCUUUGGUAUUAGUUUUUUCCUUGUUUCCAAAGUACAACAUUGAAUGAUUGAAGCACCUAAUGUCAUACUUAAUCAUAGGUAAUGGGUCAAUUUUGCCCCUGUACUAUUUGAAAUUUAGCAACUUUGUCAUCUCGGAUGGGCAAAUGGAGUUGUUAGGAGAAUUACUGAUCGUCGGGAAGAGAAGGGGAAUGCAUUUUUUUGGGGGGAAUAAAUACUCUUGUCGCGUCUGAAGGUGUAGAUAGUAGGGGGAUCUAAUCUUACCUUGCCAUAAGGAAAAAGUCUAAUUUUUGUUUCGACUCCUAACAUAGCAAUCCAGAGGUAAUUUAAAGCAUAGUUAAAAGUAGAGGGAUUAAUUUGAACUUUUUCUCGAUGAAUUUGGACAUGUGGAGUCCAUUUGUUUCAUGUUAAAGCUACGUUAAUGGCAACGACAAGUACUAGAUGAUUUGCUAACGACAUGGUAUGAAUGGAUAAAAAAUCUAACAAAUGCCAAAAUUGAGCAAAUUUGGACCUCUUUUUCUAAAUAGUAAUGAGUAUGACUAUUUUUGAAUGUUUCACCAGAGGAAUUGGAUUGACAACUCUAGCAAGCCCAAUUUUAAUCAACCAUAUCUAAAACUGCAAACCACAGAACUAUCCAAAAGUAACACCUAUUAGCAAUUAACAGAUAUUUCUUCCAUUGAAGAAAACAAAGGUAGGACAAUUAAUCUUUGUUCAAAAACAAAGAAAGAAAAUAGUGCUAAUAGGAUGGAGGAGAAGGGAAACCCAAGAAGGGCCUUCUGUCAACAUAGUCGACAUGAAUCGUGCCUUUUAGCUUGUGAAAACCAUCCUUGUAAACGCUAAAUCCGAAUAAUAAGCCAACAACAAUGACCAAUAGAAUCAAGCAUGUGCACAACAUGCAAACCUUAUCGGGGCAAAUCAAACACAUUAUAUAUGUUUACACAAAAAUAAUGGUUUUUUAUCUUGCUCGAUGGAUCAAGAUAUGUUGCCUGGCUAUUAUGCCAAGGCGUUGUUGAUUGGAAAAAAAAAAAAAAAGCACAAAUAUAUAGUUGAGAAAUAAAGCAGUGCGCCACUAGCCCUAGGAAAUUUCUUGGUUAUUAAAAAAAGGUGUACGAUUGGACUAGUUUUUCUCUUUGACUAUUUUUACCAAAUUGGUUUGUUUAAG
rnacentral:lncRNA from 1 species